rnacentral:ncRNA from 12 species
AGAACCGGAGGACGGAACAGGCAGCCGUCACCCUUUGUUUGGAGAUGCGGGAAGCGUCCCCCCGCCCGGUUUC